GGAAAGAUGCUCGAGCGGUUGAAGAGGCACGCCUGGAAAGCGUGUAAACGCCUAAAGCGUUUCGGGGGUUCGAAUCCCCCUCUUUCCGC
rnacentral:tRNA from 1 species